rnacentral:rRNA from 1 species
AGGAGCAUAUCAAUAAGCGGAGGAAGUUCCGUAGGUGAACCUGCGGAGGAAUUUUCAAUAAGCGGAGGAUGUUCCGUAGGUGAACCUGCGGAGGACCUUAUCAUAUUUAGGAGGUAGUUCUUUCAACAACGGAUCUCUGGGUUCCAGCAUCGAUGAAGAACGCAGCGAAAUGCGAUAAGUAAUGUGAAUUGCAGAAUUCCGUGAAUCAUCGAAUCUUUGAACGCACAUUGCGCCCUCUGGUUUUCCGGGGGGCAUGCCUGUCCGAGCGUCAUUUGCAACCCUCAAGCCCGGCUUGUGUGAUGGGUGCCGUCCCUUAGGGGACGCGCCCCGAAGGCAAUGGCGGCGUCGCGGUUAUCCGAUCAGCCAAAGUGUAUGGGGCUUUGUCACUCUCUUUACGGCCCGGACCGGCGCCAGUCCGAAUCAAUUUUAUUUCUAAAGUUGACCUCGGAUCAGGUAGGGAUACCCGCUGAACUUAAGCAUAUCAAU